UUUAUUGUUAUUAUUAAAAAAUUGUGUUAACAGUGUAUUAUUGGUUGAAUACAUAUAUAUAUAUAUAUAUUAAUUUCGAUGGAUGUUUAUAUAAUAUAUUUGAUCAGAUUUACACUACAACAAAAACGGUCUAUAGCGACACUUUUAAAUAUAGGUACAUGUUAAAAACGUGCUGCUAGCUAAAAUUACCGACACUUUUAAAAAGUGUUGCUAUAUGUGGGGUCGCUAGGUAUAUAGUGACAGUUAAAGAGUGUCGCUAUAACCUAAAAGAGUGCUGCUAAUUUACCAACACUUAUUUAAAUAUUUAGCAACCGUCGAAACUCUAUCUCGUUGGCUGCGGUGGCGGAGGAGGACGACAGUAAAGACUCUUCAUCUAGAAUUUCAGUGGAUUGAGUGAAGAGAGAAGAAAAGAUGGUAAUUAAUUUUUCUUUUUUUUUUCUUUUCUGUUU
rnacentral:lncRNA from 1 species